AUGAGAAUGGUGUUUUCCGCAUGAAGUUGUUAUUGUCCAGGGACUUUCAACACCCUCCUCCUAAAGGCUACUUCCUGACGAAGAUUUUCCAUCCAAACAAUGGUGAGAUUUGUGUCAACACCUUGAAAAAGGAUUGGAAUCCAAGUCUUGGAUUACGACAUGUUCUGAUUGUAGUUAGAUGUCUAUUUAUUGAACCAUUUCCAGAAUCAGCAUUGAAUGAAC